AAAAAAUAAUGUUAUUUCAAUAGGAAUAUAAAGAAAGAUUAACAAAUUACAUAAAAUAUUUUAUUAAAUUCUUCAUAAAAAUAUAUCAAAAAAAAGAACUGAAACAUCUUAGUAAAACUAAAAUAUAUUCUUGAAAGUAGUGGCGAACGAAAUCAAAAAAUUUAAAAAUAAAUUGAAUUACACAAAAAUCACCUUCUAAAUUACCUAUAAAAAUAGUACUGUAAAGGAAAUUUAUAAAUAAUAAAAUAAAAUAAUGAUAACCAUUUACCUUUUGUAUAAUGGACUUAUAAGAAAUAAAACUUGUGAGCUUUAAGGCGAAAAGAAAUUAAAAAAAUAAGUUUAACCCGAAACCAGAUGAUCUAAUUGUGAACAAUCAUAAGGACUAACUAAUAAAUGUAGAAAAAUUUUUAGAAGAUUUGCAAUUAGCAGCGAAAAACUAAUCGACUCUGGAUAUAGCUGGUUCUUUGCGAAAAUUAUAUAAGUAAAAUCAUUUUCAUAAUAGAUCAGACUCAAAGCUCAAACGUUUUUAGUCAAAAGAAAAAUAAUUUUAAUCAGAAAUUAUUAUGUUUAAAUUAAAAGUUUAAAACCUAAAAAUCAUACAAACACUACAAAAAUAGGCUUAGAAACUGCCAAAUUUGAAAGAGUACGUAAUAGUUUAUUUAUUGAAAGAAUUACUAUAAAAAUAAAACUCAUUUAAUAUAUAAAUUCUGAAUAAAAUUGGUAGCAAAGUAUUUUGUUUUCAAAAAGAAAUUAAAACAAAAGAAAUAAUAUAAGUAUAAGUAAGAUUAAAUUAUUCCUAAGAUUUCUUAUUUUAAUAAAUGAAUAAGGUUAAACAGACCCUCAAAAAAGAAGGGGUAAAAUAAUUAAAAUUUCAAGAAAAUAAAAUUUAAAAAACUGUAUUUAACUAAAUCAAGAAGGAAUAAAAAAUGAGCCUCAUUUUAUUAAAGGAACUCGGCAAAAUUGAUAUCGACUGUUUACCAAAAACAUAGCCCUUGUAAUAAUCAAAGGUGCAACCUGCCCAAUGAUUUUUAAGCAAAUAAAAAUAACAUUUUUAUAAUAAAAUUUAAAGGACGCAGUAUCUUGACUGUGGUAAUGUAGCAUAAUCACUCGCCAUUUAAUUGAUGGAUAGUAUGAACGGUUAAACGAAUUUCACACUGUCUUUAAUAAAAUACUCAUGAAAUUAAAAUAAUAGUUAAGAUGCUAUUUAAAACUGUAAGACGAAAAGACCCUAUAGAGCUUCACUACAUUUUCUAUGAAAUCAAUGAAAUAAAAAAUUCUAAUAAAAUAGAAAAAGGUAGUUUAGUUGGGGCGACUAUCUUCUAUAAAUAACGAAGACAAGCAAUGUUAAUGAAAAAACUUAUUGUAUAAUAUAUAAAUUUAACAAUUAUGAAAAUAGGCCAUAAUGACCCAUUAGGAUUAAGUAAUAGACCUAAUGAUUAAUAAAUAAAAGCUACCUUAGGGAUAACAGGAUAAUUUUGUUUUAGAGAUCAUAUCGAAGACAAAGUUUGUCACCUCUAUGUUGAAUUAAGAUAUCCUGAUAGUGCAGAAGCUAUCAAAGGUAGGUCUGUUCGACCUUUAAAAUCUUACAUG
rnacentral:rRNA from 1 species